AUUAUGUCAACAGGGCAUUUCAUCACUACUGUAACACAAACUAUUCAGUAAAAAACAUUUUUGCAUAUAGUGUCAAAUGUUAUAACAGCAAAUUACAAAUGUCUCUUUAAAGUAUUCUACUGACCAUUAAGCUUAAACCCAUUUCAAGGAUGUUCAGUUAACAUUACUUAAACGUGUAUGUAGUCAUGCCGAGCAUCACCCGACGAGUAGCUGCUGUAUCACAAUGAAA